rnacentral:rRNA from 1 species
GACGAACGCUGGCGGCGUGCUUAACACAUGCAAGUCGAACGAUGAACCAGGGCUUGCCCUGGGGAUUAGUGGCGAACGGGUGAGUAACACGUGGGCAACCUGCCCCAGACACCGGGAUAACCAUUCGAAAGAGUGGCUAAUACCGGAUACGACCACUUUGGGCAUCAAACGGUGGCGGAAAGGAAUCUGGCUUGGGACGGGCCCGGGGCCUAUCAGCUUGUUGGUGGUGUAAUUGCUAACCAAGGCGACGAUCGUUAACUGGUCUGAGAGGAUGAUCAGUAACACUGGAACUGAGACACGGUCCAGACUCCUACGGGAGGCAGCAGUGGGGAAUAUUGGACAAUGGGCGAAAGCCUGAUCCAGCCAUGCCGCGUGUGUGAAGAAGGUCUUCGGAUUGUAAAGCACUUUAAGUUGGGAGGAAGGGCAGUAAGUUAAUACCUUGCUGUUUUGACGUUACCGACAGAAUAAGCACCGGCUAAAUACGUGCCAGCCGCCGCCGUAAAAC